rnacentral:rRNA from 1 species
UACGAAGGGGGCGAGCGUUGUUCGGAUUUACUGGGCGUAAAGGGCGCGCAGGCGGCUCAUUUUGUCAGGCGUGAAAGCCCCGGGCUUAACCUGGGAACUGCGUUUGAUACGGAUGGGCUAGAGUUCGGGAGAGGAGAGUGGAAUUCCCAGUGUAGAGGUGAAAUUCGUAGAUAUUGGGAAGAACACCGGUGGCGAAGGCGGCUCUCUGGACCGAGACUGACGCUGAGGCGCGAAAACUAGGGGAGCAAACGGG